rnacentral:lncRNA from 1 species
CCCAUGCUCGUGCUCCCUCUCUGUCAGAUAAAUAAAAUCUUAAAAAAAAAAUGUAAGAUGUGGAGGUGGAAUUUAAAAUACUAGGUUUUGAGAGAUUCUUAACAUGACCCUAAGGUAUGUAGCAAGGUGGAUAGAGUGAUGAUGUUCUGUGUUGCUUAAACAGUCAUGCUGUUUUGCAUGUGAAAGGCAUUAUGAUAUCAGCUAGCUAAUUCUACCUUCAACCACCUGGUUUGAGCCAGAUGUGAAAAGAGACAUGGAUAAUGAAGGAAAUAGAACUUUGUUUUUAGAGUGUCCUGAGAUAGUUACAUGUAAAAGAAGGGAUAAGAAGAAAUUACUGUUCGUGUGGAUAUUCAUGAUGUCAUUGAACUCUACUAGAGUCUAAAUUGCCUUCCUCUGGGACAGAAAAUGGGACCACCCCUUCAGUAAUGUGAAGAUACCGCUGUAAAGACAUACAGUCUGUUUAAGGCCCCAGAAGACAAAAAUCUUCCUGUGAAGAAGUACUUCAUGGAUAGGUGGCCCAUGAACAAGCCACCUGCUAUGGAUAUAUUACAUGGCCCUACCCUCCGGCUGGACAGAAAACAUAAACUAUCAGGUAACCGCACUGACACUGAGACCACUGUUGAAGAAACUCCAGAGGACCCUCUGCAGAAAGCCAAACAAAGACGGACUUCCAAAGGUAAGCUUUGGCUUUGGCUGUGUGCUCAGUGNUCCCCGCCCUCGCCUCUGGGUCUCCCGCCUGGCCGGUUCCAACGGAAAACUUUUAGCAGGUGGAGCAACACAUUCAGCAAAAGGCAGCACCUGCGAGUGCUGGAGACAAGGGAGCAAGUGGGGCGCUUGGCACCAGCGGCGCUUGAAAUCUGUUGAGCUUCAUGAAGCCCUGGAGAUCUCUGAGGUAGAAGUAUAUUUCUUUGGAAGAUAA